rnacentral:rRNA from 1 species
UAUGUUAUCGUCUCUCGCAUAUCAAUAAGCGGAGGAAAAGAAACUAACAAGGAUUCCCCUAGUAACGGCGAGUGAAGCGGGAAGAGCUCAAAUUUGAAAUCUUAAAGGGUUUCCCUUUACGAAUUGUAGUUUAAAGUAGUGUUUUCUGUUGAGGUUUUGGUAAAAGUUCUUUGGAAUAGGACAUCAUAGAGGGUGAGAAUCCCGUAUUUGACCUUUACUUUCAACUUUGUGAUACACUGUCAAAGAGUCGGAUUGUUUGGGAAUGCAGUCCAAAAUGGGUGGUAAAUUUCAUCUAAAGCUAAAUAUUGGCGAGAGACCGAUAGCGAACAAGUACCGUGAGGGAAAGAGUGAAAAGAACUUUGAAAAGAGAGUUAAACAGUAUGUGAAAUUGUCAAAAGGGAAGCGUUUGACACCAGUGUUGUUUUUCUGAAAAUCAAUUAAAGAACUGUUUAUGCUAAGUUGUUUAGACUUUAUCAGCUAACUGUUUAGUUUUGAGCUUUUCUUUAAUGCACUUUUCAGUUAACAAGUCAACAUCAAUUUCUCUUUGCUGUAAAAAAAGCUUGAGGAAGGUGGCUUGAGAUUCGUCUUAAGUGUUUAUAGCCUCUCGCCUAUGCAGUCGGAGAGAUUGAGGUCUGCAGCGUAGAUCCUUCGGGGCUAAAUGCAUUUGUGCUAAGUUAUAGCAUUUUAUAGACAACUUGUUGACUAUGAUUUGUCUUGUAGCUUACUCGCUUAUGUUAUUUUACCUACGCUUAGGAUGUUGAUCUACAGAGCGAGAGU